UACGUAGGGUGCAAGCGUUAAUCGGAAUUACUGGGCGUAAAGCGUGCGUAGGCGGCUAUGUAAGACAGAUGUGAAAUCCCUGGGCUUAACCUAGGAACUGCAUUUGUGACUGCAUUGCUAGAGUGUGGUAGAGGGAGAUGGAAUUCCGCGUGUAGCAGUGAAAUGCGUAGAUAUGCGGAGGAACACCAAUGGCGAAGGCAAUCUCCUGGACCUGCACUGACGCUCAUGCACGAAAGCGUGGGGAGCAAACAGG
rnacentral:rRNA from 1 species